GGCGAAGCUGCGCAAUUGUGAGUUUAGACGGUGGACAGUGACGCUCACAGAUCAAUGCCAUACCAACCAAAAUGCUGAGAAGAAAGCCAAGCAAAAUCCAACUCAGAAUCGAAGACAAAGAAGAACUCGAAGAAGCUCGCAAACGCACCUCCGCCAAUACAUCUACUGCCACAUCCACAUCCACCACCGCCUCCACUUCUAUCCUUCACCCCCUCGACCGCAACCAAACCAACCCCUCCACCAAAUCCCACCGUAUCGGUCUUUCCCCUUGAAUCUUUCACCACUCAUUAUGGAAGUAGAGGUGAAAUUGGGUCUCCCUGAUUUACCCAAUUACACCCGCCUAAAUUCCCUCCUUUCCUCAUUUCACCGCAAAACCAUUCCUCAGCAAAACCUUUUCUUUGAUUCUGAAGCUGCCACUCUUUCCUCUCAACGUGCUGUCCUUCGCUUGCGUUUCUUCGACAAUGACUCGCGUUGUGUUCUUUCCCUCAAGGCCAAGCCUGUUCUAAUCAAUGGUGUCAGCCGUGUCGAGGAAGAUGAAGAGGAAAUCGAUCCAUUAAUUGGUCGUGAAUGCGUCGCCGAUCCAUCCAAGUUAAGUUCCGUCGAAUCCAGGAUUUUGAAGAGGUGCAAAGAUGAGUUUGGGGUUGUGGUAGAAAUGGGUUUUGUGUGUUUGGGUGGGUUUGAGAACGUGAGACAAGUUUAUGAGUGGAGAGGGUUGAAGCUGGAGGUGGAUGAGACUAAAUAUAGCUUUGGGGUUUCUUAUGAGGUGGAAUGUGAAACAUCUGAUCCUGAAGAGGUUAAGAGACAACUCGAAGAGUUUCUGAAGGAUAAUGGGAUCGAUUAUAAAUACUCAGAGAUGUCAAAGUUUGCAGUUUUUCGAUCUGGGAAGCUGCCUUAGUCAGUGAACUCAAUGAUUGGGCUUAUAGGUUGACCUGAAGCAUAACUGUCGUGAAGGGCCAUGGCAAAGAAGUGAAGAUCACAGGAUUUGGCAGAAAACUAAAUUUUCUUUGCGCCAUUGCAUCUAAUUCCCUAGACACAAUUAAGUUUGCCAUGGACAUGUAAUUGACAAUGCAUAUUAUUUUCUUUUGUAACAUGAUUAUCUUGUGAACCCCAAGAGUAAAUCAUACAUGUUCAUUGCCUGAGGAUUGUGCAUCUAUCGCAUGCAUCUGGGUUUAGGUAAUGUUUGGUAGAACUUAAUGUAAUGCAAUAUAAUUAAUUAUGUAAUGAAUCAAAGUUUUAAUGUAAUGCAAUGUAAUUUAAUUGUUAUUAUAUUUCUAUAUUUGAUUG
rnacentral:misc_RNA from 1 species